rnacentral:tRNA from 1 species
GCCUUCGUGGUAUAACAGUUAGCACGCUCGGCGUGUAUUCGAGAGGUCCAGGUUCGAGUCCCGGCUAGGGCA